AAAGCGUCCGCAGGCGGCCUUGAAAGUCUGUUGUUAAAGCGUGGAGCUCAACUCCAUUUCAGCAAUGGAAACUACAAGGCUAGAGUGUGGUAGGGGCAGAGGGAAUUCCCGGUGUAGCGGUGAAAUGCGUAGAUAUCGGGAAGAACACCAGUGGCGAAGGCGCUCUGCUGGGCCAUAACUGACGCUGAUGGACGAAAGCUAGGGGAGCGAAAGGGAUUAGAUACCCCUGU
rnacentral:rRNA from 1 species